rnacentral:rRNA from 1 species
CAAUGGGCGAAAGCCUGAUGGAGCAACGCCGCGUGAAGGAUGAAGGCCUUCGGGUUGUAAACUUCUUUUAUGAGUGAAGAAUAUGACGGUAACUCAUGAAUAAGCACCGGCUAACUACGUGCCAGCAGCCGCGGUCAUACGUAGGGUGCAAGCAUUAUCCGGAGUGACUGGGCGUAAAGAGUUGCGUAGGCGGUUUAAUAAGUGAAUAGUGAAACCUGGUGGCUCAACCAUACAGACUAUUAUUCAAACUGUUAAACUCGAGAAUGGUAGAGGUAACUGGAAUUUCUAGUGUAGGAGUGAAAUCCGUAGAUAUUAGAAGGAACACCGAUGGCGUAGGCAGGUUACUGGGCCAUUUCUGACGCUAAGGCACGAAAGCGUGGGGAGCGAACCGGAUUAGAUACCCGGGUAGUCCACGCCGUAAACGAUGGAUACUAGCUGUUGGAGGUAUCGACCCCUUCAGUAGCGAAGCUAACGCGUUAAGUAUCCCGCCUGUGGAGUACGGCCGCAAGGCUAAAACAUAAAGGAAUUGACGGGGACCCGCACAAGCGGUGGAUUAUGUUCUUUAAUUCGAUGAUAACCGAAGAACCUUACCAGGGCUUGACAUCCAGGGAAGGUCUGCGAAAGUAGACUGUGCCUUUUGGAACCCUGUGACAGGUGAUGCAUGGCCGUCGUCAGCUCGUGUCGUGAGAUGUUAGGUUAAGUCCUUCAACGAGCGCAACCCUUGUGAAUAGUUGUAUUUUUCUAUUCAGACUGCCCCGGUAACGGGGAGGAAGGAGGGGAUGAUGUCAGGUCAGUAUUUCCCUUACGUCCUGGGCUAGAAACGUAAUACAAUGGCUAGUACAAUGCGCAGCGAAGCCGCGAGGUGAAGCAAAUCGCAUCAAAGCUAGUCCCAGUUCGGAUUGUAGGCUGAAACUCGCCUGCAUGAAGUCGGAAUCGCUAGUAAUCGCAAAUCAGCAAGUUGCGGUGAAUACGUUCCCGGGUCUUGUACACACCGCCCGUCAAACCAUGAAAGUGACCAACACCCGAAGUCCGAUUCGUCGGCCUAAGGUGGGGGGCAUGAUUGGGGUUAAGUCGUAACAAGGUAUCCGUACCGGAAGGUGCGGAUG